rnacentral:rRNA from 1 species
UACGGGGGGGGGCAAGCGUUGUUCGGAAUUACUGGGCGUAAAGGGCUCGUAGGCGGCCAACUAAGUCGGACGUGAAAUCCCCAGGCUUAACCUGGGAACUGCGUCGGAUACUGGCGGGCUUGAAUCCGGGAGAGGGAUGUGGAAUUCCAGGUGUAGCGGUGAAAUGCGUUAGAUAUCUGGAGGAACACCGGUGGCGAAGGCGGCAUCCUGGACCGGCAUUGACGCUGAGGAAGCGAAAGCUAGGGGGAGCAAAACGGG